rnacentral:rRNA from 1 species
ACCCGUCUUGAAACACGGACCAAGGAGUCUAACAUGCGCGCGAGUCGUUGGGUCGGACACGCUCCGCUAAACCCAUAGGCGCAAUGAAAGUGAAGGUUUCCCUUUGCGGGACCGAGGGAGGACGGAGGAGCUCUAACAGGCUCCUCCCGCACUCCCGGGGCGUCUGAUUCCUCUCUUUGAGGGAAGGCCCCCCCCGAGCGCACACCUUGGGGCCCCAAAUAUGGUGAACUAUAAA